GAUGAACGCUGGCGGCGUGCCUAACACAUGCAAGUCGAACGAAGCACCUUACCUGAUUCUUCGGGUGAAAGUUUGGUGACUGAGUGGCGGACGGGUGAGCAACGCGUGGGUAACCUGCGCUGCACAGGGGGAUAACAGAUGGAAACGGCUGCUAAUACGGCAUAAGGGCACGGGGAGACAUCUCCUUGUUUGAAGAACUUCGGUGGUACAGGAUGGGUCCUGGUCUGAUUAGCUGGUUGGAAGGGUAACGGCCUACCAAGGCAACGAUCAGUAGCCGGUCUGAGAGGAUGAACAGCCACAUUGGAACUGAGACACGGUCCAAACUCCUAGAGGAAGCAGCAAAGGGGAAUAUAGCGCAGUGGGGGAAACCCUGAUGCAGCAACGCCGCGUGAGUGAAGAAGUAUUUCGGUAUGUAAAUCUCUAUCAGCAGGGAAGAUAAUGACGGUACCUGACGAAGAAGCUCCGGCUAACUACGUG
rnacentral:rRNA from 1 species